CCUGCUAUAUAUCCCAAUAUCAAUACACUAAUUGAUAGGCAUUCACAGUGAUCACAUAAUUAUCACUUGAUAAAAUAAAAUGAUUUCCAAAUGAUUCACUGAUCCAGUAUACACAGAAAACUAGCUAUUAUAAUAAUGAUCAAAGUUCCAACAUUGUUCUACAUAUAGUCGCAAAAGAUAAGAGCUUCAAACCUUGAAUAUUCAUACAAAAUACCACAAAUACUAGAGUAAUGAAAAUACUAAAAGUUAAAAGAAAUACCAUAUAUAUAGUUUGUUUUAAAAUAUACUAAAGGCUAAGAAGAUUAGUUGAAAGUAGGCAACUCACUACCAAACUUAGCUUGUAAAAACCAAUGAAGAGUUGUCAACUGAUUCUCAUUUUGCACAACCCGAUUCUUAGUUCCCUCGAGCGUUUAUUUGGUCGCCUCAAGCUGUUUUUUGGUCUCUUUAUAUCCCUUUUCUUUCAAGGUUUCUACAUGUUUCUCUAGGUCUCCAACACGUUGAUGAGACAUACUACUAGAGCUACCAAGNNNN
rnacentral:lncRNA from 1 species